GUAGAAGGUGGAGUUGAGCAGCUCUUCCAGCCUGCGCGGAACGUCGUUCUCCCGGUAGUACUCCAUCGCCUGCUGCUUCAGCUUCUGCAGCUCCCUAGUGGUCCCACAGCUGCGGCCGCCGCCUUCUUCCUCCAUGAUGAAAACAUCUGAGACUCAGGGCUAAGCACCUUGCCCAAGGCCACACAACAAGUAGGUGAUGGAGAGUGUUGGCGUGUACGGAUUCUGUGGGUGUAAAGCAAAGAACAAAAUGAAGUGUGAUUCAAGGUGGGAAAUAGCCGCUUCAGCUCCCCCAGGCUGCAGCAGCUACCACACAAAGAAGCAGUCCUAUGGCAAUGACAGGACAUCUGUGUCCAGGAUUUGGAUUUGACGAACUGGCAGUUCCUGCAGGGAUGACGGUACUCCCUAGUUGUGUCUGAAUUGGACGCACCAGCACUUGAGCACACACAAACGCACGUGAACAGACGGAACAUGUUAUGGGCCUGUUAGCCAAGGAAUGACAGAAUUAAUCCAUGGGCAUUUGCGGCCAGUGUUGUGUUAAACUAAAGGGAAAAAGUGAACUGGAAAAAGCAAUGUUUGUUUUAUGAAAAUCUCAGACCCAAUCCUUAGGUGACAGUUCUGGAAAUGAGGGGUGUCUAAAACAAAGGGCAUCUGAAACUUCGGUUUUUCAGCUUCCUUUCCUUGUCUCAUGACCUCUUUCCUACCCGCUGCCUCUGUUUUCUCUAAUAUGGAACAGUGAAAAUGGGGGCCAGCAAAACAGAUUGCUGAUGUCUGUUGAUUUUAUCAAAGGAAGGUUAGAUUGAGUAAGAUGGCAUAAAUAAGCACACAUAGGACAAUACCUGGCAUAUAUCAGGUGCUCAAUAGCAGUGAAUUCUCUCCCUGCUGUCAUGAAUUCUUGAAGGUUGGAGACCAUGCGCUGUUCUGCGUGCCAAGUUAUUUUUUCGGCCUGAUAGCAGGUGAGCUACUGAGUGAAGACAGAGACUGGACGCUAAUUCAGCUCUGAAUCUUCAGCACCUGGCAUGGAAGGUGCACAGGACAUAUUUGAAAAAGGAGAAUUAAUAGAAUUGACCAAUAGGCUGACCUCCUGAAUGAUGACUGAGCAAAUUGAUCUAGAGGUAUUCAAAACAGUUUAGUUGACUGUCCCAAACUUUCUCAGACCUCUUCUGCCACUGACUUCCCUGAAAAGACCCUUUGCAGCCAGGCACGGUGGCUCAUGCCUGUAAUCCCAGCAUGUUGGGAGGCUGAGGUGGGCGGAUCACGAGGUCAAGAGAUUGAGACCAUCCUGGCCAACGUGGUGAAACCUCGUCUCUACUAAAAGUACAAAAAUUAGCUGGGUGUGGUGGCACGUGCUUGUAGUCCCAGCUAGUUGGGAGGCUGAGGCAGGAGAAUCGCUUGAACUGGGGAGGCGGAGGUUGUAGUGAACCAAGAUCAUGUCACUGCACUCCAGCCUGGCAAUAGAGCGAGACUCUGUCUCAAAAAAAAACCAAAAAAACAAAAUCAACCCUUUUGCAUUUUUGUCCUAUCCUGUUUUCCGUCCCCUUGAGACCGUAUCACACGUUCUUUUUCCUCUUUGGUGACCUUCUUUGUCUUUCUUGCUGCUCCUGUACACUGUUGUUUACUCACACUGCUUUUAUUCUGAGCUCUCAUAUCUCUUCUAUUUCUGGUUCUGACGCCUAUCUUGUCUAUGCCUCGCACACUCACCUCCGACUCGGAGUCCUGACCUGCACAGCUGCGAUUGCGGUUUGCACACUUUGAGGGUGAACAGUUGUCAUGCAGCCCUUUUGAGUGCUAAAAAGUGACCACUUAAGAUUUUCCUCGUGGUUAGGAAGAUGAGUAUUUUAAAAUCAUUCUGGAGGAGAUUAGUGGUAAAGAAAACCUUCCUCAGCAACUAAAUCAUUGUGGAAAAAUAAGCCAAUUAGUCACUAAAACAAAAACCUUUUGAAGACUUGUGAACAGAGGAAAGAACAUGUGAAUUACAGGUUUUCUGUUUUGUGGCAUUGAUAGACUCCAGUAGUAUUCAUGAUCGCUGAUCAUCGCGAUGGGGACCCCGGAAAGGUGAAAUUAUGUUCAGUUGAAUAUUACCUAACCCUUCUCAAAGGACAAUUUGAUUUUGUUAUUCCAUUGUUAAGGGCUUUUUGGUGGCCCUUCGAGAUCUGGCUCUGGCUUCUCUUUGACCUUGAACCCUCACUCUGGUUGUGCUGAUCUGCUGACCGUCCUCCGGACACGGUAGGGUGCUCCAUGCCACAGGGCCUUUGAACAAACCUUUCUUAUCCUUGGAAUAAAUGCCUUUUCUUCCUUUUGUUCCCCUGCCAAACACAUGCUAUUAGGAAAGAUUCAACCCCAUGUCAUCACCUCCACAAAGCUUCUCCUGACACCUCCCAAGUUAGAUUGACCUUUUUCUCUUUUGUGUCCCCCACUGUCGAACUUGAUGUUCUUGUCAAUGACAACAAUAGUGGUAACAAUGAUGGUUUCCUUUCAUUGAGUGCCUUUUGGUUCCAGUAAGUGUAAGUGCUUUCACUUGUUAUAUCAUUUAAGCCCUGCCACCCUAUGAAGAGGCCACUAUUAUACAUACAGUCAUGCAUUGCUUUAUGACAGGGAUAUGUUCUGAGAAAUGCAUUAUUAGGCAAUUUCAUCAUUGUGUGAACAUCAUAGAAUGUACUUCCACAAACCUAGAUGAUAUAGCCUGCCUCACAACUAAGCUAUUAUAUGCAGGACAGUCUGCUGCUAGCUGCUUCUAAGCUACAGACCAUAUAUAUGUAUAUAUGUACAUAUCCUCUCCCUGCCCCUCUUGCUCUUUAUAUAUAUAUGCAUAUACCUAUAAUAUAUGCAUAUUUAGAUAGGCUUUUAUAUGUAUAUUGUAUAUAUGUACAUAUAUACAUUUAUUUUUUGAGACAGGGUCUUGCUCUGUCUCCCAUGCUGGAGUGCAGUGGUAUGAUCACGGCUCACUGCAGCCAUGACCUCCCAGGCUCGAGGGAUCCUCCCAGCUCAGCCUCCCAAGUAGGUGGGACUACAGGCAUGCACCACCACAUCUGGCUAAUUUUUGAAUUUUUUUUUGUAGAGAUGGGGUUUCACCAUGUUGCCCGGUUCUCAAACUCCUAGGCUCGAGUAAUCCACCCAACUUUGCUCCCAAAGUGGUGGGAUUAUAGGUGUGAGCCACCGCAACCAGCCCAUAUAUGCAUAUUUAAUAUACAUGUGUAGCAUAUACAUACACAUAUACACAUCUAUGCAUAUAAAUUAACAAUAUGUAUAUAUGUGCAUAAAUUCACAUAUAUUUUCUGUAUAAAGACAGCAAGAGAGGCAGGCGGAGAAAGAAUCAGUUGCAGUCUGGAGGAAUAUACGUGUGUUACAUGGUUUCCCUGCCUUUAAAUUCUCUGUUAAUCUGUAUUCCUUGUAAAGUAGAUGACAGCAUGUAUCUUGGCCUACAUGUUUCUAAAGACAAACCUCUAAGCUCUUGAAGUUCUGCCAUGGUGUAUCAUAGUACAUUGAAGUCAGAAAGCCCAUUAGAGGAGGAGGAUGCCUGGCUAGAAUAGUGUUCUUGAGUUUUUCCAUGUGUAUUGUCUCAGGUAGGAAGAUGACAAGUCCUACUUUGUUCUUGUGUGAUUCCCCAUCAUUCAGUCUGUGGAGGCUGAGCUUGUUAAUGGUGGUGAACACGAGUUUCGUUCUUUGCCAGGAGUGCCCACCAGUGCCCAUAACGCCCUCCCGGAAUGUGCCGGGCAGUAUGUUUAGGGUAAGACUGACUAACGACCCAACACUGACAACGGCCUUAGCACAAACCCAAAAGGCUCUGCUAGAGCUCAGAGGCAGCCACGAGAUUGGGAGAGCUGGAUGACGGUUUGCUAAGAGAAUUCAAGCUGUCAGUCCUCCUGUGUAUCCUUUGGAUUCUGUUAUGCUGUUGCUUGUAGAGGGAAAAAGUUCAUGUGUCAUUUAUAUACAAGUGCCCAUUUGACAUUGAGUGAGUCACAUUUAUUUUACCCUAUAUGAACACAAAAUCUCUGUUUUAAAAUCAGAUUCUAGAACUUUAAAAGGGUUCUUAUGUAUUGUUCUGAAGUAACUCAGUGGCUCUUGGUGAGCCCGCCCCACCUGGCCUGUUGGGUGACCCUCUUCCUGCCCCCUCACCGGUUCUGCUCCUUGUUCCUCUCUCUGCGCCUUGGCUCCCCUUCCCAGAGCCCUUCCUCUUGGUCUUGCCAAAUCCUGCCCAUCCUUUGAGAAACGCUUAUGCCCAUGGCUGUCUUACCCCUUCCUGCUUUGCUGUGGUAUCCAUUAGUCUGUUCUCGCGCUGCUAAUAAAGACAUACAAAAGACUGGGUAAUUUAUAAAGGAAAGAGGUUUAAUGGACUCACAUUUCCACAUGGCUGGGGAGGCCUCACAAUCAUGGUGGAAGAUGAAGGAAGAGCAAAGGGACUUUUUAUGUGGCGGCAGGAAAGAGAGCUUGUGCAGGGAAACUCCCAUUUAUAAAACUGUCAGAUCUCAUGAGACUUAUUCACUACCAUGGGAACAGUAUGGGGGAAACUGCCCCCAUGAUUCAAUUAUCUCCACCUGGCCCUGCCCUUGACACGUGGGGGUUAUUACAAUUCAAGGUGAGAUUUGGGUGGGGACACAGCCAAAAUAUAUCUGGCAUAUGCAAUCUGAUCACCCCUUCCAAACUUCUCUCUUAAAAAUGCAACAUUCUGACAGCAUGUGGAGGCUUGGAUGGAAACACGGUAAAAAUUACAACAUUGUUUCUCACACUUUUGCACCAAAGUGAUACAAAUCGCAGAGCUGAGGCAACUGGUGUUUCUGCGAGAAUGGAAUGGAAUGUGGUUGAAAUUUUGUGUUGUUUUUUAAAUAUUUGCAACUAUUUGUCAUUCUUCCAUAAAAAUCAGAAUUCAUGGUUGUGUACAUAAAAGUAAUUUUCUAAAGUG
rnacentral:lncRNA from 1 species